GCCGGGCGUGGUGGUGUGUGCCUGUAGUCCUAGUUACUCAGGAGGCUGAGGCAGGAGAAUCGCUUGAACCUGGGAGGCAGAGGUUGCAGUGAGCCGAGAUUGUGCCACUGUACUCUAGCCUGGGUGACAGAGUGAGACCCUGUCUCAA
rnacentral:SRP_RNA from 1 species